UCUAAUAUUCAACCAUAUGAUUUUUAGCUAAAAGGCAUGCAUGUAGAAUAUGUAUAAUUUGCAUUAUUCUUUUGAUGAUUUUAUGUGUAAAUAUGCAUGUUUGGAAAAUAUGUGUAAUUUAUACCAAGUGUGCAUGGCCCAUGCACACAUGAGGUAUAUGAGUUGGGCACAAGAAAGUCUUAUGUGAUGCUAAAGAAUGCUAUUUGAUUAUCAUUAUAUGCUCGUUGUGACGUUUGUCAGUUUUUGCUUUGCUUGGACCUGAGGUAGCAAAUAUGAUUUCUCUUUGGCACACGUGGUGAUGUGGGGAGUUCCAAUGUCAGGGUGUGUAUGGCGUGGGGGUACCCUAUGGGCAAGAAAAUGAUCAGCUUAACGCCAAUUUCUAAAGAGCAAUGUGAUGUUUAUUUUUAAUUUUUCAGAACUUAUAAGUGGGACUUGAACUUUAAUUUUUUUUUAAAAACGUUGCAUGGAAACUAUUAUUUUUAUUUUUAUACUACUGGGCCCAACUUGCAUGUUUUAGCAAGGCCCCACUGGGAUUUUUCAUAUAAUAAGUGGCUUUCUUCUAUAAGUUUAUGGGCAUGUAAAAGUUUUACAAAGUAUUAGAUUACGACAUUUUACAUUAUU